AAAAUUUUAGUUUAAUAUAUAAAAUAAUUCAUUUACAAUGAAUAGAUUAAUAUUUAUAAAUUAGUAAUAUUUGA
rnacentral:tRNA from 1 species